rnacentral:rRNA from 1 species
CACGUAGGGUGCGAGCGUUGUCCGGAAUUAUUGGGCGUAAAGAGCUCGUAGGCGGUGUGUCGCGUCGGCCGUGAAAACCUGCAGCUUAACUGUGGGCUUGCGGUCGAUACGGGCAUCGCUGGAGUUCGGCAGGGGAGACUGGAAUUCCUGGUGUAGCGGUGAAAUGCGCAGAUAUCAGGAGGAACACCGGUGGCGAAGGCGGGUCUCUGGGCCGAUACUGACGCUGAGGAGCGAAAGCGUGGGGAGCGAACAGG